UACAGAGGGGGCAAGCGUUGUUCGGAAUUACUGGGCGUAAAGGGCGCGUAGGCGGCCUGCUAAGUCGAACGUGAAAUCCCUGGGCUCAACCCAGGAACUGCGUCCGAUACUGGUUGGCUUGAAUCCGGGAGAGGGACGUGGAAUUCCAGGUGUAGCGGUGAAAUGCGUAGAUAUCAUCAGGAAUACCGGAGGCGAAGGCGGCUCACUGGGGGUUAUCUGACGCUGAGGAACGAAAGCCAGGGGAGCAAACGGG
rnacentral:rRNA from 1 species